rnacentral:rRNA from 1 species
AGAGUUUGAUCAUGGCUCAGAUUGAACGCUGGCGGCAUGCCUUACACAUGCAAGUCGAACGGCAGCACGGGAGCUUGCUCCUGGUGGCGAGUGGCGAACGGGUGAGUAAUAUAUCGGAACGUACCCUAGAGUGGGGGAUAACGUAGCGAAAGUUACGCUAAUACCGCAUACGAUCUACGGAUGAAAGUGGGGGAUCGCAAGACCUCAUGCUCAUGGAGCGGCCGAUAUCUGAUUAGCUAGUUGGUGGGGUAAAAGCUCACCAAGGCGACGAUCAGUAGCUGGUCUGAGAGGACGACCAGCCACACUGGAACUGAGACACGGUCCAGACUCCUACGGGAGGCAGCAGUGGGGAAUUUUGGACAAUGGGCGCAAGCCUGAUCCAGCAAUGCCGCGUGAGUGAGGAAGGCCUUCGGGUUGUAAAGCUCUUUUGUCAGGGAAGAAACGGUUCGGGCUAAUAUCCUGGGCUAAUGACGGUACCUGAAGAAUAAGCACCGGCUAACUACGUGCCAGCAGCCGCGGUAAUACGUAGGGUGCAAGCGUUAAUCGGAAUUACUGGGCGUAAAGCGUGCGCAGGCGGUUGUGCAAGACAGAUGUGAAAUCCCCGGGCUCAACCUGGGAAUUGCAUUUGUGACUGCACGGCUAGAGUGUGUCAGAGGGGGGUAGAAUUCCACGUGUAGCAGUGAAAUGCGUAGAGAUGUGGAGGAAUACCGAUGGCGAAGGCAGCCCCCUGGGAUAACACUGACGCUCAUGCACGAAAGCGUGGGGAGCAAACAGGAUUAGAUACCCUGGUAGUCCACGCCCUAAACGAUGUCUACUAGUUGUCGGGUCUUAAUUGACUUGGUAACGCAGCUAACGCGUGAAGUAGACCGCCUGGGGAGUACGGUCGCAAGAUUAAAACUCAAAGGAAUUGACGGGGACCCGCACAAGCGGUGGAUGAUGUGGAUUAAUUCGAUGCAACGCGAAAAACCUUACCUACCCUUGACAUGUCUGGAAUCCUUGAGAGAUCAGGGAGUGCUCGAAAGAGAAUCAGAACACAGGUGCUGCAUGGCUGUCGUCAGCUCGUGUCGUGAGAUGUUGGGUUAAGUCCCGCAACGAGCGCAACCCUUGUCAUUAGUUGCUACGAAAGGGCACUCUAAUGAGACUGCCGGUGACAAACCGGAGGAAGGUGGGGAUGACGUCAAGUCCUCAUGGCCCUUAUGGGUAGGGCUUCACACGUCAUACAAUGGUACAUACAGAGGGCCGCCAACCCGCGAGGGGGAGCUAAUCCCAGAAAGUGUAUCGUAGUCCGGAUUGUAGUCUGCAACUCGACUACAUGAAGUUGGAAUCGCUAGUAAUCGCGGAUCAGCAUGUCGCGGUGAAUACGUUCCCGGGUCUUGUACACACCGCCCGUCACACCAUGGGAGCGGGUUUCACCAGAAGUGGGUAGCCU